rnacentral:rRNA from 1 species
UACGUAGGGAGCAAGCGUUGUCCGGAAUCAUUGGGCGUAAAGCGCGCGUAGGUGGCCUCAUAAGUCCGCUGUGAAAGUCAAAGGCUCAACCUUUGAAAGCCGGUGGAUACUGUGAGGCUAGAGUACGGAAGAGGCGAGUGGAAUUCCUGGUGUAGCGGUGGAAUGCGCAGAUAUCAGGAGGAACACCGGUGGCGAAGGCGGGUCUCUGGGCCGAUACUGACGCUGAGGUGCGAAAGCGUGGGGAGCAAACAGG